ACGCUGCUUUUGAGUCCCUGCUGUGACUGCGUGUGGUGCCAGGGGUCUGGCUGCAGAGCCAGAGCAGGAGCUUGUGCAUAACUGGGGCCGACUUCUUCUCGGCUGGCAGCCUUUUUAACCUCGAGCGACAUGG